rnacentral:rRNA from 1 species
AGCGGCGGAUGGGUGAGUAACACGUGGGGAACCUGCCCCUAAGUCUGGGAUACCAUUUGGAAACAGGUGCUAAUACCGGAUAAUAAAGCAGAUCGCAUGAUCAGCUUUUGAAAGGCGGCGUAAGCUGUCGCUAAGGGAUGGCCCCGCGGUGCAUUAGCUAGUUGGUAAGGUAACGGCUUACCAAGGCGACGAUGCAUAGCCGAGUUGAGAGACUGAUCGGCCACAUUGGGACUGAGACACGGCCCAAACUCCUACGGGAGGCAGCAGUAGGGAAUCUUCCACAAUGGACGCAAGUCUGAUGGAGCAACGCCGCGUGAGUGAAGAAGGUUCUCGGAUCGUAAAGCUCUGUUGUUGGUGAAGAAGGAUAGAGGUAGUAACUGGCCUUUAUUUGACGGUAAUCAACCAGAAAGUCACGGCUAACUACGUGCCAGCAGCCGCGGUAAUACGUAGGUGGCAAGCGUUGUCCGGAUUUAUUGGGCGUAAAGCGAGCGCAGGCGGAAAAAUAAGUCUAAUGUGAAAGCCCUCGGCUUAACCGAGGAACUGCAUCGGAAACUGUUUUUCUUGAGUGCAGAAGAGGAGAGUGGAACUCCAUGUGUAGCGGUGGAAUGCGUAGAUAUAUGGAAGAACACCAGUGGCGAAGGCGGCUCUCUGGUCUGCAACUGACGCUGAGGCUCGAAAGCAUGGGUAGCGAACAGGAUUAGAUACCCUGGUAGUCCAUGCCGUAAACGAUGAGUGCUAAGUGU